AUGUGUGCCUAUAAUUUUUUUCACAUUCAUUUGCUGUUUGGAACAUAUGUUUACCUAAUACAUUUACCAAUUCUCAUUGCCAUGAGUAGAAUCAGUAUUUGGGGUAGUUGAUGACUGCCUUCCCUAUGGUCUAAUGAUAUGUAGGUGCACUGUAUUAGGCAUUGUGUGAUAUCUUCUUUUUUGGUCCCUAUUCCUUGAAUUCUUCAAACUUUGACUGUUUUUUUUUAUCAGAUUUUCAUCGUGUGAUUAGUUCUCUCUAUGCUAUUGAAUGGAGAUGCAUAUGGACUGGGAUUUUCUUUUCCUUCCAUUUUCAUGUUCAAUUUGAAUUCAAAAAGAUGUCAUUGGUUUUUUAACUUCGGUGGGAGAAGAGAAAGAAUAUGCAAAAGAGAAAAAAAAUCGUGAAAAUGAUUGUGCUGGAAUUAACUUCAAAAGAUCUUACAAUGCGUUGUGCAUUGUUUGGGGACUAUGUUAAUCAAGUAAAUCAUUUUCUAGCCUCUGGCUAUGUGGAGCAGCCUAUUGUUGUCAUUCAACUUGCGAAAGUCAAGUUCUUUAGAGGUACAUUGUUUAAUUUCUGUACAUUUUCUUAUUUAUACUCUAAGUGUUGUCUCCUAUGAACUUUGCUAGACUCUUUUGAUAUUGCUGUGUAGGUCAAAUAGGUCUCCAAAAUGUGAUGUAUGCCACUCAAAUGUUAUUUAAUCCUGAUCUUUCUGAAGUUGUUGAAUUCAGGCGAAGGUUAGCAUGGUUUAUUUUGCUAUUUUUGUUUCUAUUCUUGAGAUACAGCCAAUCUAGAGUAAUAAAUACAUGUAUUUGCAUCAUUUUUUUUGUUAGUAUGAUUGAGCAAUGUGUCAAAGAUAUCCAGCCACUAUUUAUUGCAAAUGAGGGUAAAGUUGUUUCCUUGGAAGAUGAUUUUAUGCGCUUAACUAGAAGAUGCACUAUUGAAGAGCUCCAAGAUAACAAUGAGGUUGGCAUUUAUUGAUUUAGUUGUGUUUAUUUUAUACACCAAUGAACAGAGAAAAAAAAACAAUUUUUAGAUCUGUUCUUUUAUGCAUAUUGUUAACAAAUUUUAAAAUGUCCCUUUCCUAGGAGGGUUCUUUUAUCAUUUUCGGUAUAAUCAGAGGUAUUGUUGAAGAUGGAAGUUGGUGGUAUUCUGCUUGUGUGUGUGGAAAGGGUAUCUAUCCUCAAAAUGGUGCAUACUACUGUGAUUUCUGUGUGAAGCAUAUAACUAAUGUCACUCCGAGGUAAAAAAAUUUUGUUCAAAAUAUUUUUUCAUUUUGUGUUGUGGAUCUUUUAUAAGAAUAAUGUUUCAUGGUAUUAUUCAUUUUGAAAUGUUUUUUUUUCGAUUAUGCAUAUUUAAAAUUAAAAUAACACUUGAAGAUCAUAGUGGGGAGGGUAUUUUCGUUCUCUUUGAUCGUGAAGCAUCUUAUUUGUUUAAGAAAUCAUGCGCUGACCUGUUUACUGAGGUUCAAAAAGAUGCAAGUGUAUGUUCUUAGUUUUCUUUUGUGUGUUGUUCACUUUAUGUGGUUCAUUUUUUUUAUAGCUAUAUUCUUUAUUUUGGUUGAUAUGUGUUACUCAAUCUGUGUAUUUCUUAUCUAUUACCUUAAAAAUAGCUUAUAUGUGGGGAUACUUAUCCUCCCAUAUUCUAAGGGCUCAUUGGAAAAAAUUUGCUGUUGAAGGUUGAUACCAAAGGUGUCGGACUUGAUAAAUUUUUUGGCACUUUCCGAGUUAGGAGAGUAUGUGAUGAUCCUACCAUUAUUGCUAUGUUUGAACUUUCUGAUUAUGAUGCUGACGAUGAGUCUACUC